AGUCGAACGGUAACAUGAGAGCUUGCUCUUGAUGACGAGUGGCGCACGGGUGCGUAACGCGUAUGCAACCUACCCUAUACAGGGGGAUAGCCCGGAGAAAUUCGGAUUAAUACCCCAUAAUAUUUUUGUAACACAUGUUAUAAUAAUUAAAGCUUCAGCGGUAUAGGAUGGGCAUGCGUCCCAUUAGUUAGUUGGUGAGGUAACGGCUCACCAAGACUUCGAUGGGUAGGGGUUCUGAGAGGAUUAUCCCCCACACUGGUACUGAGACACGGACCAGACUCCUACGGGAGGCAGCAGUGAGGAAUAUUGGGCAAUGGACGAGAGUCUGACCCAGCCAUGCCGCGUGCAGGAUGACGGCCCUAUGGGUUGUAAACUGCUUUUAUACAGGAAUAAACCUAUCUACGUGUAGAUAGCUGAAUGUACUGUACGAAUAAGGAUCGGCUAACUCCGUGCCAGCAGCCGCGGUAAUACGGAGGAUCCAAGCGUUAUCCGGAUUCAUUGGGUUUAAAGGGUCCGUAGGCGGAUUUUUAAGUCAGUGGUGAAAGCCCACAGCUCAACUGUGGAACUGCCAUUGAUACUGGAAGUCUUGAGUUUGGUUGAAGUUGGCGGAAUACGUCAUGUA
rnacentral:rRNA from 1 species